GCAACAUUAGGGACAGUCGGUCUAACAAGCAAUAACACUCGCUUGGAAGAUCUUCCCUUCGUCGU
rnacentral:pre_miRNA from 1 species